GAUUGAACGCUGGCGGCAGGCUUAACACAUGCAAGUCGAGCGGGGGAKRUUGCUUCGGUAACUGACCUAGCGGCGGACGGGUGAGUAAUACUUAGGAAUCUGCCUAUUAAUGGGGGACAACAUCUCGAAAGGGAUGCUAAUACCGCAUACGCCCUACGGGGGAAAGCAGGGGAUCACUUGUGACCUUGCGUUAAUAGAUGAGCCUAAGUCGGAUUAGCUAGUUGGUGGGGUAAAGGCCUACCAAGGCGACGAUCUGUAGCGGGUCUGAGAGGAUGAUCCGCCACACUGGGACUGAGACACGGCCCAGACUCCUACGGGAGGCAGCAGUGGGGAAUAUUGGACAAUGGGGGGAACCCUGAUCCAGCCAUGCCGCGUGUGUGAAGAAGGCCUUAUGGUUGUAAAGCACUUUAAGCGAGGAGGAGGCUCUUUUGGUUAAUACCCAAGAUGAGUGGACGUUACUCGCAGAAUAAGCACCGGCUAACUCU
rnacentral:rRNA from 1 species